UUAGAAUGUGUUUUCAAUUUUAUAAACGUAGCGAAAAGAAGGUGGUGACCGCCCGGUAGAUACAAUAAUCAAGAAAGGUAGCACUUUCUAAUUAUGGAACGACUUCUAGUUCUUAUCACAUUAGUUGUGGUUUUGUGAAGUUUUACUCCUGGUUGUAUACCUUAUGGAGAAAAGAAAAGGGAGUUGACCUUGCUGGAGGUGUUUCUUGACAUGGUACUUUCCGACACAAUGUG
rnacentral:lncRNA from 1 species